rnacentral:rRNA from 1 species
GACGAACGCUGGCGGCGUGCCUAACACAUGCAAGUUGAGCGACGAACCAGGGCUUGCCCUGGGGCAACGCAGCGAACGGGUGAGUAACACGUGGGUAACCUACCCCGAUAACCGGGACAACCCGCGGAAACUCGGGCUAAUACCGGAUGUACUCACUGGACUUCGGUUCAGUGCGUAAAGGAAGCUUCGGCCUCCGUAUCGGGAGGGGCCCGCGGCCCAUUAGUUUGUUGGUGAGGUAACGGCUGACCAAGGCCGCGAUGGGUAGCUGGUCUGAGAGGACGAUCAGCCACACUGGAACUGAGACACGGCCCAGACUCCUACGGGAGGCAGCAGUGGGGAAUCUUGCGCAAUGGGCGAAAGCGUGACGCAGCAACGCCGCGUGGGGGAAGAAGGCCUUCGGGUUGUAAACCCCUUUUAGGAGGGACGAAGGUGCGGCGGUGAAUAGCCGUCCGGACUGACGGUACCUCCACAAGAAGCCCCGGCUAACUACGUG